UGACCCCACAGUGACAUCGCUCUGUAAAAUGUACCAAAGAUACUGCGGUAUAUCUGUCCAUCCAUCUCUCUGUUGCUUUGGUGUGGACAUCAAUUAGCAACCAUCCAAACUGUUGUAUGGUACAGAUGGAACAUGUUGAUAGUGAAGCUACCUGGGAGAUGGAGAGGGGCAGAGACCGAGAGAAAGGUAGCGAGGGAGAAGAGAGGGAACACUCCCACGCAGGUGAAUGUUAUGAAAUGCUGUGGAGGGUGGAUGGACAGUUACCACCACGUUAAUGUUCAGCCGUGGUCUGACUCUGCUGAGGUUGUUGGUGCGCGCCACAGUCACUUGGUCACGGGUCUUAUGUGACGCACAUGGGACGCACAUGCUACGGAGGGAUGCUCCAGAGACGCUGUUUACAGAACAGCAUAUGUGGUCAUUAUGGCACCGUGCCCAAAAGGGGAUAAUACCACCAACCCUGAAACCGGCCAGGAGACGCAGUGACUCUCAGAUGAAUAACUCUGUGAUGUCCUCAUCUCCCAGAGUCUCAGUUUCAGCCCAUCCCAGUGGAAGGAUGAAUGUGUGGGAGAUGUGUUGUGGCUUCACGAAGACCAGAUCAUCCCGGCGGAUCUGCUUCUCCUCUGCAGCUCCGAGCCUCACAGCCUGUGCUACUUGGAGACAGCUGACAGUAAUGGAAAGGGACCAACAUGAAGUAGCUACCAGCCCUGGCCGCCACCCACACAGAGAUGACCACUGAUCCAACAGAGCAGACCCUGGCCGCCACCCACACAGAGAUGACCACUGAUCCAACAGAGCAGACCCUGGCCGCCACCCACACAGAGAUGACCACUGACCCAACAGAGCAGACCCUGGCCGCCACCCACACAGAGAUGACCACUGAUCCAACAGAGCAGACCCUGGCCGCCACCCACACAGAGAUGACCACUGACCCAACAGAGCAGACCCUGGCCGCCACCCACACAGAGAUGACCACUGACCCAACAGAGCAGACCCUGGCCGACCACCCACACAGAGAUGACCACUGAUCCAACAGAGCUGACCCUGGCCGCCACCCACACAGAGAUGACCACUGACCCAACAGAGCAGACCCUGGCCGCCACCCACACAGAUAUGACCACUGACCCAACAGAGCAGACCCUGGCCACCACCCACACAGAUAUGACCACUGACCCAACAGAGCAGACCCUGGCCGCCACCCACACAGAGAUGACCACUGACCCAACAGAGCAGACCCUGGCCGCCACCCACACAGAGAUGACCACUGAUCCAACAGAGCAGACCCUGGCCGCCACCCACACAGAGAUGACCACUGACCCAACAGAGCAGACCCUGGCCGCCACCCACACAGAUCAAAUCAAAUCAAAUCAAAUUUAUUUAUAUAGCCCUUCGUACAUCAGCUGAUAUCUCAAAGUGCUGUACAGAAACCCAGCCUAAAACCCCAAACAGCAAGCAAUGCCGGUGUAGAAGCACGGUGGCUAGGAAAAACUCCCUAGAAAGGCCAAUACCUAGGAAGAAACCUAGAGAGGAACCAGGCUAUGUGGGGUGGCCAGUCCUCUUCUGGCUGUGCCGGGUGGAGAUUAUAACAGAACAUGGCCAAGAUGUUCAAAUGUUCAUAAAUGACCAGCAUGGUCGAAUAAUAAUAAGGCAGAACAGUUGAAACUGGAGCAGCAGCACAGUCAGGUGGAAGUUGAAACUGGAGCAGCAGCAUGGCCAGGUGGACUGGGGACAGCAAGGAGUCAUCAUGUCAGGUAGUCCUGGGGCAUGGUCCUAGGGCUCAGGUCAGUUGAAACUGGAACAGCAGCAUGGCCAGGUGGACUGGGGACAGCAAGGAGUCAUCAUGUCAGGUAGUCCUGGGGCAUGGUCCUAGGGCUCAGGUCCUCCGAGAGAGAGAAAGAAAGAGAGAAGGAGAGAAUUAGAGAAUGCACACUUAGAUUCACACAGGACACCUAAUAGGACAGGAGAAGUACUCCAGAUAUAACAAACUGACCCCAGCCCCCCGACACAUAAACUACUGCAGCAUAAAUACUGGAGGCUGAGACAGGAGGGGUCAGGAGACACUGUGGCCCCAUCCGAGGACACCCCCGGACAGGGCCAAACAGGAAGGAUAUAACCCCACCCACUUUGCCAAAGCACAGCCCCCACACCACUAGAGGGAUAUCUUCAACCACCAACUUACCAUCCUGAGACAAGGCUGAGUAUAGCCCACAAAGAUCUCCGCCACGGCACAACCCAAGGGGGGGGCGCCAACCCAGACAGGAUGACCACAACAGUGAAUCAACCCACUCAGGUGACGCACCCCCUCCAGGGACGGCAUGAGAGAGCCCCAGCAAGCCAGUGACUCAGCCCCUGUAAUAGGGUUAGAGGCAGAGAAUCCCAGUGGAAAGAGGGGAACAGGCCAGGCAGAGACAGCAAGGGCGGUUCGUUGCUCCAGAGCCUUUCCGUUCACCUUCCCACUCCUGGGCCAGACUACACUCAAUCAUAUGACCCACUGAAGAGAUGAGUCUUCAGUAAAGACUUAAAGGUUGAGACCGAGUUUGCGUCUCUGACAUGGGUAGGCAGACCGUUCCAUAAAAAUGGAGCUCUAUAGGAGAAAGCCCUGCCUCCAGCUGUUUGCUUAGAAAUUCUAGGGACAAUUAGGAGGCCUGCGUCUUGUGACCGUAGCGUACGUGUAGGUAUGUACGGCAGGACCAAAUCAGAGAGAUAGGUAGGAGCAAGCCCAUGUAAUGCUUUGUAGGUUAGCAGUAAAACCUUGAAAUCAGCCCUUGCUUUGACAGGAAGCCAGUGUAGAGAGGCUAGCACUGGAGUAAUAUUAUCAAAUUUUUUGGUUCUAGUCAGGAUUCUAGCAGCCGUAUUUAGCACUAACUGAAGUUUAUUUAGUGCUUUAUCCGGGUAGCCGGAAAAUAGAGCAUUGCAGUAGUCUAACCUAGAAGUGACAAAAGCAUGGAUAAAUUUUUCUGCAUCAUUUUUGGACAGAAAGUUUCUGAUUUUUGCAAUGUUACGUAGAUGAAAAAAUGCUGUCCUCGAAAUGGUCUUGAUAUGUUCUUCAAAAGAGAGAUCAGGGUCCAGAGUAACGCCGAGGUCCUUCACAGUUUUAUUUGAGACGACUGUACAACCAUUAAGAUUAAUUGUCAGAUUCAACAGAAGAUCUCUUUGUUUCUUGGGACCUAGAACAAGCAUCUCUGUUUUGUCCGAGUUUAAUAGUAGAAAGUUUGCAGCCAUCCACUUCCUUAUGUCUGAAACACAUGCUUCUAGCGAGGGCAAUUUUGGGGCUUCACCAUGUUUCAUUGAAAUGUACAGCUGUGUGUCAUCCGCAUAGCAGUGAAAGUUUACAUUAUGUUUUCGAAUAACAUCCCCAAGAGGUAAAAUAUAUAGUGAAAACAAUAGUGGUCCUAAAACGGAACCUUGAGGAACACCGAAAUUUACAGUUGAUUUGUCAGAGGACAAACCAUUCACAGAGACAAACUGAUAUCUUUCCGACAGAUAAGAUCUAAACCAGGCCAGAACAUGUCCGUGUAGACCAAUUUGGGUUUCCAAUCUCUCCAAAAGAAUGUGGUGAUCGAUGGUAUCAAAAGCAGCACUAAGGUCUAGGAGCACGAGGGCAGAUGCAGAGCCUCGGUCCGAUGCCAUUAAAAUGUCAUUUACCACCUUCACAAGUGCCGUCUCAGUGCUAUGAUGGGGUCUAAAACCAGACUGAAGCAUUUCGUAUACAUUGUUUGUCUUCAGGAAGGCAGUGAGUUGCUGCGCAACAGCCUUCUCUAAAAAAAUUUGAGAGGAAUGGAAGAUUCGAUAUAGGCCGAUAGUUUUUUAUAUUUUCUGGGUCAAGGUUUGGCUUUUUCAAGAGAGGCUUUAUUACUGCCACUUUUAGUGAGUUUGGUACACAUCCAGUGGAUAGAGAGCCGUUUAUUAUGUUCAACAUAGGAGGGCCAAGCACAGGAAGCAGCUCUUUCAGUAGUUUAGUUGGAAUAGGGUCCAGUAUGCAGCUUGAAGGUUUAGAGGCCAUGAUUAUUUUCAUCAUUGUGUCAAGAGAUAUAGUACUAAAACACUUGAGCGUCUCUCUUGAUCCUAGGUCCUGGCAGAGUUGUGCAGACUCAGGACUGAGGUUUGGAGGAAUACGCAGGUUUAAAGAGGAGUCCGUAAUUUGCUUUCUAAUAAUCAUAAUCUUUUCCUCAAAGAAGUUCAUGAAUUUAUCACUGCUAAAGUGAAAGUCAUCCUCUCUUGGGGAAUGCUGCUUUUUAGUUAGCUUUGCGACAGUAUUAAAAAGGAAUUUCGGAUUGUUCUUAUUUUCCUCAAUUAAGUUAGAAAAAUAGGAUGAUCGAGCAGCAGUAAGGGCUCUACGGUACUGCACGGUACCGUCCUUCCAAGCUAGUCGGAAGACUUCCAGUUUGGUGUGGUGCCAUUUCCGUUCCAAUUUUCUGGAAGCUUGCUUCAGAGCUCGGGUAUUUUCUGUGUACCAGGGAGCUAGUUUCUUAUGAGACAUUUUUUUAGUUUUUAGGGGUGCAACUGCAUCUAGGGUAUUGCGCAAGGUUAAAUUGAGAUCCUCAGUUAGGUGGUUAACUGAUUUUUGUCCUCUGGCGUCCUUGGGUAGACAGAGGGAGUCUGGAAG
ensembl:lncRNA